AUUGAACGCUGGCGGCAUGCCUUACACAUGCAAGUCGAACGGUAACAGGUCUUCGGAUGCUGACGAGUGGCGAACGGGUGAGUAAUACAUCGGAACGUGCCCAGUCGUGGGGGAUAACGUAGCGAAAGCUACGCUAAUACCGCAUACGAUCUAUGGAUGAAAGCGGGGGAUCGCAAGACCUCGCGCGAUUGGAGCGGCCGAUAUCAGAUUAGGUAGUUGGUGGGGUAAAGGCUCACCAAGCCGACGAUCUGUAGCUGGUCUGAGAGGACGACCAGCCACACUGGGACUGAGACACGGCCCAGACUCCUACGGGAGGCAGCAGUGGGGAAUUUUGGACAAUGGGCGCAAGCCUGAUCCAGCAAUGCCGCGUGCAGAAUGAAGGCCUUCGGGUUGUAAACUGCUUUUGUACGGAGCGAAAAGGCUCUCUCUAAUACAGGGGGCUCAUGACGGUACCGUAAGAAUAAGCACCGGCUAACUACGUGCCAGCCGCCGCGGUAA
rnacentral:rRNA from 1 species